rnacentral:rRNA from 1 species
AUUUUUUAAUUUAUUAAUAAUAUUGAUUUAUAUUUGUUGAAAAAAGAAAUUUUUUAUUUAGUAGUAUUUUUGAAAAAUUUUUGGUUAUUAUAGAUAAUUUGUACUGUGAGGGAUUAUUUUAAAAUUUUAAUAAGAAUAAUUUAUUUUUAGUACCUUGUGUAUCAGGGUUUAUUUAAUUAUUUAAAUAUUUAAUUUUCUCGAAUUCAAAAGAGCUAUUAAAAAAUAUUUUUGAUUGUAAAAUAAAACUUGUUAAUUUUUUAAUAGAUGUGAAAUAUUAUUCGUUUUUGAAUAUAUCUAGUUGUUUAAGAAAUAAAUUUAAUUUGCUUGGUUUUAAUAAUAAUUUAAUUUUUUAUUUUUUGUUUAGAUUAAGUUAAAUUUUUGGGGAUUAGCUCAAUUAUUAAGUAUUAAAAAUUAUUGGUCUGUUUUUGUUUGUAGGAUUAUAAUUGUCUAUCAAUAGAAAAAUGUUAUAAUUUGUGAAAAAUUUUUUUGAUUUAUUUUUAUUUUAAGUUUUUUAUUGAACUUGAUUUUUUAAUUUAAAAUGUGUUGUGAUAAUGAUAAAAUUAGUAUAAUUUAGUGUAUUUUUAAUUUUUGUGUUAGAUUAAUAAAAGGAAUUCGGCAAAUUUAAUUUUCACCUGUUUAUUAAAAACAUGUCCUUUUGUUAAUUAUUUAAGGUCUGGCCUGCUCUAUGAUUAUUUUAAUGGCCGCGGUAUAUUGACUGUGCAAAGGUAGCAUAAUCAUUAGUUUUUUAAUUGAAAGCUGGAAUGAAAGGUUUGAUGAAAAAUUGGCUGUCUCUUUUUAAAUUUAUUAGAAUUUUAUUUUUAAGUUAAAAAGCUUAAAUGUAUUUAAAAGACGAGAAGACCCUAUAGAGUUUUAUUUAAUUUAGUUUUAAAAUUUUUGGAAUUAUAAUUUUUAAUUUUAUGUUGAAUUUGGUUGGGGCGACUUGAAAAUUAAAAUAACUUUUUUUAUGAUUUUCACUUAUUUGUGUUUAAUUGAUCUUUUAUUUUGAUUAGAAGAUUAAAUUACCUUAGGGAUAACAGCGUAAUUUUACUGGAGAGUUCAAAUCGAUAGUAUAGUUUGCGACCUCGAUGUUGGAUUAAAAUUAAAAUUUGGUGCAGAAGCCAUUUUUUUAGGUCUGUUCGACCUUUAAAAUUUUACAUGAUCUGAGUUUAGACCGGCGUGAGCCAGGUUGGUUUCUAUCUUUAAAUAGUUUAUAUAUUUUAGUACGAAAGGACCAAGUAUAUUGUUAUUAACUUGAUAUUUGAAUAAUAUU